GCCACGGGCAUGUGGGUGGCAAGCCCUCGGUGAGCUUGCCACAUGACAUCCUGUUACCACCCUACGUCCUGUGACCACGUGACGUCCUGUUACCACCCUACAUCCUGUGACCACGGGACGCCCCGCGACCACGUGACGUCCCGUGACCACGUGAUAUCCGGUUACAACGCGACUUCCGGUUUCCACGCUGCUAUUACUAUUCCUAAGCCUAUCUCAACUCGGAAGUCAGGUUGGAAGACAAGUAGAUGAAUUCGAAAUUGGGUGGAAACGAAAAGCCAGAGGCCCGAACGAGCAGAGAUGGCCAAAGCCCGGGUAAAACGUCCCGUCUGGGAUGGGGAUGCUUAAGGCAUCUGUCCUCAAAAAGGCGGAGGCUCAGCCCCGGACCCACACUGGCAGUUAGAAAUGCCCAUAAGUUGAGAAAAGGCGCUCCCUUCCUUAGCGCGGACUUGCAGAAGGGCCUCCGGGAAGCGGGCAGCCGUGCUGUGCCGUCCUUGGGGUGUGGAGCCACAGAAACCACCGAGACCAACCCCUCCGGCAGCAGAGGUGGCCCCCUGUUCCAUCCUGGAUCCAGGCAGUGGCACGGGGCCCCGCCAGGGAGCUGGGGACAAGCCCCUCGUCCUGGGGUGCGAAUCCCCCCCACACCUGGCACCAGUUUCCCUCUCCUGCUCCCAGCCACCCAGGAGCGAAGGAACACACUGGCAGGUUUUACAGGGUGGCCCCUGAGGCCUGAGCCAGAGGUGAACUCAGGGCUCCCUCAUUCGGGCAGGACGCACCCACUAGAGGCCAGACCCGGAAGAGGGGCUGCGGAUGCAUGGGCGACGGUCCCCGCCCUUCCGCACACGGGGAGCACAGGACCACGCUGCAGGGCACUGCACGGGUAGGCGGGGUGCUCUCAGAGGGGAGACGCCCUCUCCCACGUGAGCUGGGGAAGGGAGAGGGCAGGAUUCACCCGCAGCUCAAGGUGGGGAAGGACAGCCAGGCUGGGAGACAGCUGCGCCCUGGAGGAGCCCGGGAGGGUUGGGCAGACGCCAAGAGGAGCGCAGUGUUUGAAGGAGGAGGUGACUGAGGAGGCUGGCAGGUGUCAGGCAGGGACACUAGGUUAUGCCAGGUUUGCAGCACCCGCUGUGGGGUCCUGCUUGCUCUCCCGGACCCCUCGCCCGGGGUGGGGGGGGGAGGCCACGCCAGCAGGACACUCCAGAAGCAUGGCGGAGGCGCCCGCUGGCGAGGAAGGGGGACCUCCUGCUGACAGCCGUGUGGGCGAGCGAGGAAUUGUAUCCCCCAGCCCCAGCCAGGCCUUCCGGGGACUGUCCCUGCCAUUCUGAUGGAAACUUCCAGAGACUCUGAGGCAGAGCAAUGCAGCAAAGACACUCCUGAAUCCCUGACCUGCAGAAGCUGUGAUGUAUUCAAGGUCCUCAGUCAUCAGAGGGGAUCUGUAGAUGCUUGAUUUCAAAAUACAGCCUCCAAGUAUUCUAUUUCGGUGACAGGUGUCGCGGGCCCGGUUUCUGGCUUGGACAAGCACGGUGCCACUGAAGCCGGCUGCCGGCAGCACCCGCCAGUUCAGCCAGCACCAAACCACAGCUCGUAUGGUCCCAGAGGACGGCCAAUCUCCAGUGGAAAUUUCAAACUCAAUUGGCACAGAGACAGGCUGGAGCUGUCCCCGAGUAACUAAUCAUCUGAAAGCUGCCGAGAUGGCGCUUUACCUGGAUGUGCUCGUGAACUCUAAGGUGCAGACAGACCGCAAGGGCUUGACGGCAGGCAGGCUCGCCCACAGCACCCCUGCGCCGGCUCGUCUUCGAUGCGUGCGCCGGGCAGGCCUGAAUGAGCUCCGAGCAGGUGCAACAGAAUCGGCCCACCCUUUCCUGU